CCUGAUGGAGAAAAGAAGGCGUAUGUUCGACUGGCUCCCGACUAUGAUGCUUUGGAUGUUGCCAACAAAAUUGGGAUCAUCUAAACUGAGACCAGCUGGCUAAAUCUAAAUAUAAAUUUUUUUCACCAUA